rnacentral:lncRNA from 10 species
AGGAGUGAAGGCAAUUUUGAAGGCAUGACUACGACCUGCUCUGGCCACAAGAGCUAAGAGUUGCCAGGUGUUGUGGCUCAAACACUUUGAGAUGCCAAUCCCAACACUUUGAGAGGCCAAGGCAGGAGGAUUGCUUGAGGCUAGGAGCUUGAAACCAGCCUGGGCAACACAGUGAGACCCCAUCUCUACAAAAAAUAAAAAAACAGGCCAGGCGCAGUGGCACUUAGGGAGGCCAAGGUGGGUGGAUCACCUGAGGUCAGGAGUUCGAGACCAGCCUGACCAACAUGGAGAAACCCCGUCUCUACAAAAAAUACAAAGUUUGCCAGUGUGGUGGCACAUGCCUGUUAUCCCAGCUACUCAGGAGGCUGAGGCAGGAGAAUCGCUUGAACCCGAAAGGCAGAGGUUGCAGUGAGUGGAGAUCACGCCAUUGCACUCCAGCCUGCGCAACAAGAGUGAAACUCCAUCUCAAAUAAAUAAAUAAAAUAAAGUUUUAAAAAGUCAAAAUU